AGCUUGGUGGUGUAACGGUUAGCACGUCCGCUUAAAAUUGCCAUUUCAGCAAACUCCAGCAGGACAUUCCUUGUUCGAAUCAAGGUCAGGCAU